rnacentral:rRNA from 1 species
UACGGGGGGGCAAGCGUUGUUCGGAAUUACUGGGCGUAAAGGGCGCGUAGGCGGCCUACUAAGUCGGACGUGAAAUCCCUCGGCUCAACCGAGGAACUGCGUCCGAUACUGGUGGGCUUGAAUCCGGGAGAGGGAUGUGGAAUUCCAGGGUGUAGCGGUGAAAUGCGUAGAUAUCUGGAGGAACACCGGUGGCGAAGGCGGCAUCCUGGACCGGUAUGACGCUGAUGCGCGAAAGCCAGGGGAGCAAAGCGGGG